GGAGUAUGGGCCGUGUCUCAGUCCCAUUGUGGCUGAUCAUCCUCUCAAACCAGCUACUGAUCGUCGCCUUGGUGGUCCAUUACACCGCCAACUAACUAAUCAGAUGCAGACUCAUCCUAAAGCGAUAAAUCUUUCACGAAUAGUAUCUCAACUACGCGCAUAUGGGGUAUUAGCAGGAGUUUCCCUCUGUUGUCCCCCUCUUUAGGGCAGAUUCUCUACAUAUUACUCACCCGUCGCCACUUUCCUCUCUAGCAAGCUAGAGAUUCUCGUUCGACUUGCAUGUAUGAAGCACGCCGCCAGCGUUCGUC
rnacentral:rRNA from 1 species